AAGAGAGCUAUCCGUCGACAGUCAAGAAUUCACGAUACUGUCAUGGAGCUGCUCUCUUUA
rnacentral:pre_miRNA from 1 species